rnacentral:rRNA from 1 species
UACGAAGGGGGCAAGCGUUGUUCGGAAUUACUGGGCGUAAAGCGCACGUAGGCGGCUUAGUAAGUCAGGGGUGAAAUCCCGCAGCUCAACCUCGGAACUGCCUUUGAUACUGUUGAGCUUGAGUGGAGCUGAGGUGAGUGGAAUGUCUCAUGUAGAGGUGAAAUGCGUAGAUAUUAGGAAGAACACCAGUGGCGAAGGCGGCUCGCUGGGCCUGUUUUGACGCUGAGGUGCGAAAGCGUGGGGAUCAAACAGG